rnacentral:rRNA from 1 species
UGGGGAAUUUUGGACAAUGGGCGAAAGCCUGAUCCAGCAAUGCCGCGUGUGUGAAGAAGGCCUUCGGGUUGUAAAGCACUUUUGUCCGGAAAGAAAUCCUUGGCUCUAAUACAGUCGGGGGAUGACGGUACCGGAAGAAUAAGCACCGGCUAACUACGUGCCAGCAGCCGCGGUAAUACGUAGGGUGCAAGCGUUAAUCGGAAUUACUGGGCGUAAAGCGUGCGCAGGCGGUUUGCUAAGACCGAUGUGAAAUCCCCGGGCUCAACCUGGGAACUGCAUUGGUGACUGGCAGGCUAGAGUAUGGCAGAGGGGGGUAGAAUUCCACGUGUAGCAGUGAAAUGCGUAGAGAUGUGGAGGAAUACCGAUGGCGAAGGCAGCCCCCUGGGCCAAUACUGACGCUCAUGCACGAAAGCGUGGGGAGCAAAACAGGAUUAGAUACCCUGGUAGUCCACGCCCUAAACGAUGUCAACUAGUUGUUGGGGAUUCAUUCCUUAGUAACGUAGCUAACGCGUGAAGUUGACCGCCUGGGGAGUACGGUCGCAAGAUUAAAACUCAAAGGAAUUGACGGGGUCAUAGCUGUUUCCU